CUCAAGUGAAGAAACCGGAAGCGCGGGAAGCGUGAAGUGACCGGAAUGGAGCAGAAUAAAACCGGAACAGCCUCGUUUUGUUGUCGGAGCGGCGGAAGGGAAGGUUUCUCCUCCUCAGGACGCCCUGCAGACGAGCUACGGUCCCGGUUCGGUUCUUGGAGAAGUCCGGUGCGGUGGAGACGUGGAGGUUGGAGGCGACGCAGGCGGCUGGGGGGGAUGGAGCCGAGUCUGUAUGUCCGGUAACGGCAGUUCCUAGGACUUAAGGACGGAGGAGAAGAAACCCGAGACUGAUUUGGAGUCACAUUGGUCCCGUUUGGUGAACUUUGAGGUCGGUGGAUGGACGGAGACUGUAUGCUGCUGGUGGAGUUUGGUGGCUGGAGGACAACUGUUGGGUAAACCUGAGUCUGGACCCGUGAUAUUGGUGUUCAUUUGUCAUCCUUAGUUCAAUAUGUGGAAAAAUGUUUUUAAAUGAACUCAUCAUCUGCAGUUUCUGAAAUUAUUUUGAGGGCCCACUGUUGUACAAAUACUGCUGGCUGGGAUUCAGGGUAUUUGUUUUCAUCCAUGUAAAGUCACUUCAUUGCACUGUCUGUUGAUCCCAGCUCCAUUUAGAGUGCUCAUUACAGCAGUAGUCAUCUGUCUUUUCCAGAGAAAAUCCAGUGUUUCUGUCCUGACAUGAAAGCAUAAACAAAAUAAUAAGACUCCUUUUUUGUUUUUUUUACCCUCAAUCACACAUAAACAAAGAGCGCACAUGUAGAGCUUGUGUUUUUAUCAAGCAGCCCACCACCAACCAAAGAGCCCAGUCUGUGUUCUUUCUGUCACACGUUGGAAAUGAAUCGGAGAUGCCAGCCUCCCUCCCACAUCUCCCGCUGCCCACUCUGCUCUCCAGUCGCAGUUUAUUUAUCGAACAAACUGGCAUCUAAAUUGACUUUGAAAGGCUUCAGUGGCUUGACACCUCGAGCACCGUCCACCCAGUGCCGGGAUCUUCAGCAUCAAAGGUCCCCGCCGCUGCAGCAAGUUGGAGGACCGACAGGAAAACUCCUGGCCGGAUGCAUUUCUGGCUGCUGAUGCCUGCGGGAGAACAGCUGGGGAGAAACAAGGUGCUACACAACCCAACGUACACGCAACGCUGCUGAAGUCCGGUGAUUCUGCAGCCUCACAUCGUGCCCUCUGGGUGCACAUGCCACUUCCCAUCUGUCUUGUGCGCUUUGUCGAACAAGCUCCCGGAGCCAUUGUGUUUUCAGUCCAGGCUGUGAGAAUGGAUACUACAUCUUAUAGAACCACAUUAAAGUUUAAUGCUG